rnacentral:siRNA from 1 species
AGCGGUAUCAUUGUGGUUUGAUGG